rnacentral:rRNA from 1 species
AUUGAACGCUGGCGGCAGGCCUAACACAUGCAAGUCGAGCGGAUGAAGGGAGCUUGCUCCUGGAUUCAGCGGCGGACGGGUGAGUAAUGCCUAGGAAUCUGCCUGGUAGUGGGGGAUAACGUCCGGAAACGGGCGCUAAUACCGCAUACGUCCUGAGGGAGAAAGUGGGGGAUCUUCGGACCUCACGCUAUCAGAUGAGCCUGUCGGAUUAGCUAGUUGGUGGGGUAAAGGCCUACCAAGGCGACGAUCCGUAACUGGUCUGAGAGGAUGAUCAGUCACACUGGAACUGAGACACGGUCCAGACUCCUACGGGAGGCAGCAGUGGGGAAUAUUGGACAAUGGGCGAAAGCCUGAUCCAGCCAUGCCGCGUGUGUGAAGAAGGUCUUCGGAUUGUAAAGCACUUUAAGUUGGGAGGAAGGGCAGUAAGUUAAUACCUUGCUGUUUUGACGUUACCAACAGAAUAAGCACCGGCUAACUUCGUG